rnacentral:rRNA from 2 species
AAAGACUCUCGGCAACGGAUAGUUGGUGUGAAUUGUAGUAUCCCGUGAACCAUCGAGUCUUUGAACGCAAGUUGCGCCUGAAGCCAUUAGGCCCAGGGCACGCCUGCCUAGGUGUUG